rnacentral:rRNA from 1 species
UACGUAGGGUGCGAGCGUUGUCCGGAAUUAUUGGGCGUAAAGGGCUCGUAGGCGGUCUGUCACGUCGGGAGUGAAAACUCGGGGCUCAACCUCGGGCCUGCAGUCGAUACGGGCAAACUAGAGUACUGCAGGGGAGACUGGAAUUCCUGGUGUAGCGGUGAAAUGCGCAGAUAUCAGGAGGAACACCGGUGGCGAAGGCGGGUCUCUGGGCAGUAACUGACGCUGAGGAGCGAAAGCGUGGGGAGCGAACAGG